UGGCCGCAGAAUACUGUGCUAAGGUAGCAUAAUCACUUGUCUUAUAAUUGAAGACUAGAAUGAAAGACUAAACGAGUAAAUUACCCACUCUUAUUACCCUAUGAAACUAUAAUAAGCAUCAAAAUAUCCUUAUUCAUAGAAAAGACGACAAGACCCUACUGAACUUUACUAAAGUUAAACUGGGGCAGUUUAUUAACAAAUUCUUAUUACUCUCACCUUCCAACAAACCCUUAAAAAGAACAAACAAGUUACCAUAGGGAUAACAGCGCAAUUUUUCUUCUUAGCUCUUAUAUAAAGAAAAGAUUACGACCUCGAUGUUGAAUUAAUCAAUCUAAUAGAAGCAAAACUCUAUAAGAAAGUCUGUUCGACCUUUAAUUUAUUACAUGAUUUG
rnacentral:rRNA from 1 species